GACGAACGCUGGCGGCGUGCUUAACACAUGCAAGUCGAACGAAGUGGGAACGGGUGAGUAAUACGUGGGUAACCUCCCUCCUUUUUGGGAUAAGCCUUUGAAACGGGGUCUAAACCGAAUAGAUGGGCUCGCGGCUUAUCAGCUUGUUGGUGGGGUGAUGGCCUACCAAGGCGGUGACGGGUAGCCGGUCUGAGUGGAUGAACGGCCACAUUGGGAAUUGGACACGGCCCAGACUCCUACGGGAGGCAGCAGGGGGGAAUCUUCCGCAAUUGACGAAAGUCUGACGAAGCAACGCCGCGUGAGUGAUGACGGCCUUCGGGUUGUAAAGCUCUGUUAAUCGGGACGCGGUACCGGAAGAGAAAGCCACGGCUAACUACGUGCCAGCAGCCGCGGUAAUAC
rnacentral:rRNA from 1 species